rnacentral:misc_RNA from 1 species
GGAUGAAGAACGCAGCGAAAUGCGAUAAGUAAUGUGAAUUGCAGAAUUCAGUGAAUCAUCGAAUCUUUGAACGCACAUUGCGCCCUUUGGUAUUCCGAGGGGCAUGCCUGUUCGAGCGUCAUUACACCAAUCAAGCCCCGCUUGGUAUUGGGUGCCAGCCGGCCCUCCUAGGGGCGGCUCUCCUGGAAUGUAUGUGGGCGGCUCUCCCCUUGCUUCAAGCGUAGUAGAUCAUUUUCUCGCUUCGGAGGCUCGGGGUGCGCUCGCCGGACGAACCAAACCUUUAUUUUUCAAUGGUUGACCUCGGAUCAGGUAGGGAUACCCGCUGAACUUAAGCAUAUCAAUAAGCGGAGGA